rnacentral:rRNA from 1 species
UACGAAGGGGGCUAGCGUUGCUCGGAAUCACUGGGCGUAAAGCGCACGUAGGCGGCUUUCUAAGUCAGGGGUGAAAUCCUGGAGCUCAACUCCAGAACUGCCUUUGAUACUGGAGAGCUCGAGUCCGGAAGAGGUGAGUGGAACUCCGAGUGUAGAGGUGAAAUUCGUAGAUAUUCGGAAGAACACCAGUGGCGAAGGCGGCUCACUGGUCCGGUACUGACGCUGAGGCGCGAAAGCGUGGGGAGCAAACAGG